rnacentral:rRNA from 1 species
UACGUAGGGGGCUAGCGUUGUCCGGAUUUAUUGGGCGUAAAGAGCUCGUAGGCGGUUUGUUGCGUCGGCUGUGAAAACCUGAGGCUCAACCUCAGGCCUGCAGUCGAUACGAGCAGACUAGAGUGUUGCAGGGGAGACUGGAAUUCCUGGUGUAGCGGUGAAAUGCGCAGAUAUCGGGAGGAACACCGGUGGCGAAGGCGGGUCUCUGGGCAACAACUGACGCUGAGGAGCGAAAGCGUGUGGAGCGAACAGG